AUAUGAACUACAGCACAAAAUUUCUGAUGGCUUGCAAAUUUGGUGAAUCCAAUGGCCAGGGACCAAGGAACUGCUUCAGGUGACAGCACUUGUUUCAUAGCAGCCAUGGCAACUAAUUUCAUAGUACAAAAUAAAGAUCACCACCAGAAUUCUAUGUUUUCUUUACAACCUCUUCACUAUUUGAAACCCAUAUUCCUGUAUCCCAUUAGGAUGAAAAAUGACCUUCAAAGCAGUUAACCACAAAAAUGAAUAUAAAACCAUGUGUACAGCUCAAAUCAGUUACUAUACAAC